GAUGAACGCUGGCGGCGUGCCUAAUACAUGCAAGUCGAGCGAACAGACGAGGAGCUUGCUCCUCUGACGUUAGCGGCGGACGGGUGAGUAACACGUGGAUAACCUACCUAUAAGACUGGGAUAACUUCGGGAAACCGGAGCUAAUACCGGAUAAUAUAUUGAACCGCAUGGUUCAAUAGUGAAAGACGGUUUUGCUGUCACUUAUAGAUGGAUCCGCGCCGCAUUAGCUAGUUGGUAAGGUAACGGCUUACCAAGGCAACGAUGCGUAGCCGACCUGAGAGGGUGAUCGGCCACACUGGAACUGAGACACGGUCCAAACUCCUACGGGAGGCAGCAGUAGGGAAUCUUCCGCAAUGGGCGAAAGCCUGACGGAGCAACGCCGCGUGAGUGAUGAAGGUCUUCGGAUCGUAAAACUCUGUUAUUAGGGCAGAACAAAUGUGUAAGUAACUAUGCACGUCUUGACGGUACCUAAUCAGAAAGCCACGGCUAACUACGUG
rnacentral:rRNA from 1 species